rnacentral:rRNA from 1 species
AACAGGAUUAGAUACCCUGGUAGUCCACGCCGUAAACGAUGUCGACUUGGAGGCUGUUUCCUUGAGAAGUGGCUUCCGGAGCUAACGCGUUAAGUCGACCGCCUGGGGAGUACGGCCGCAAGGUUAAAACUCAAAUGAAUUGACGGGGGCCCGCACAAGCGGUGGAGCAUGUGGUUUAAUUCGAUGCAACGCGAAGAACCUUACCUACUCUUGACAUCCAGAGAACUUUCCAGAGAUGGAUUGGUGCCUUCGGGAACUCUGAGACAGGUGCUGCAUGGCUGUCGUCAGCUCGUGUUGUGAAAUGUUGGGUUAAGUCCCGCAACGAGCGCAACCCUUAUCCUUUGUUGCCAGCGAUUCGGUCGGGAACUCAAAGGAGACUGCCGGUGAUAAACCGGAGGAAGGUGGGGAUGACGUCAAGUCAUCAUGGCCCUUACGAGUAGGGCUACACACGUGCUACAAUGGCGCAUACAAAGAGAAGCGACCUCGCGAGAGCAAGCGGACCUCAUAAAGUGCGUCGUAGUCCGGAUCGGAGUCUGCAACUCGACUCCGUGAAGUCGGAAUCGCUAGUAAUCGUGGAUCAGAAUGCCACGGUGAAUACGUUCCCGGGCCUUGUACACACCGCCCGUCACACCAUGGGAGUGGGUUGCAAAAGAAGUAGGUAGCUUAACCUUCGGGAGGGCGCUUACCACUUUGUGAUUCAUGACUGGGGUGAAGUCGUAACAAGGUA